ensembl:lncRNA
UUAUUGUUCUCUUUUGCCUGCCCUUCGGCUUGAAAGGAAUUCUGUAGAAGCAGUCUUUAUUUUCAGACUCUGCAGGCCUGCUGGGAGGAAACAUAUUACAAUAAACAGAAGAAGCUCAUGGUCCACUAUCUGCUGCUCCAGAGUCAAGGCCAGGUCCCUCUCCAUGUCACCACGGAGCACAUGAGCAACUGGCUGGUGUCUCAGGGCAAAAAAUCCCUUAGGGGGAGGGUGUGGAAGGAAACCCUGGAGGAGGGAAACGACCUCGCUCGGCUGGCCUGGGAAGUAAACACUUGCCUAAAAAUGAUGAACAUAGAGCACGAGGCUUUCUGCAAGCUCCGCCGCUCCAUGCACCCCACCUCGCCAGCUGACAUCGAUCCACAGCACUGUGGAAAGAGCUGUGAGGAGCAUUCUGGGCGAGCAGUCCAAUGAGCCCAGUAGCAACCUGCUCAGGUGGUGGCGGAGGUGGUGCCCAGGCUCCUCCUGGCCCUGUGGCUUCAGCCAGAGGAAGGCCAUUCAGAGCACCCAAUCCUAAUAAACGGGAUGGCCGUGGGCAUGGUGGCAGCCGUAGUGGAGAAGCUCUCCUGCAUGUUAAAGGACCCUUCCCCUCACAUCCCUUUCUCCCGGGCUGCUGCUUUUGACUCUGUGCGGUCGAUCCUCAGGAGAAUCAGUCAGUCCUUCUCCACCGAUGACCUGCAGAGCCCUUUUUAUAUGAGCUCUGUUUGUGCCUUUGUGGCGGAUGAGGUGCAGAGCUGCUUCCAGCCCCCUGCAGCCACCCAACCAGUCCCCCGGGUCCUCGCGGUGGCCGUUUCCACCACACUACCAGCUGACAUCCAAGGAGGGGAUGUUGCUGUGGUCAUCUCGGAUGUCACCCCACACGUCACCAAGGACAUGACACUGGAUGUUCCAUGCAAACUAGGAAAGGGGCAGUUCGGCGAUUAUUUUGCAGGCUUUGGAGGGCAGUGUGCUGCUGCGCCUGCCACAAGGAAGAGGAGGAACAAUAUUAAUUAUUCAUCAGACCUUCAGAAA